rnacentral:rRNA from 1 species
UACGAAGGGGGCUAGCGUUGCUCGGAAUCACUGGGCGUAAAGGGCGCGUAGGCGGCCAUUCAAGUCAGGGGUGAAAGCCUGUGGCUCAACCACAGAAUUGCCUUUGAUACUGUUUGGCUAGAGACCGGAAGAGGUAAGUGGAACUGCGAGUGUAGAGGUGAAAUUCGUAGAUAUUCGCAAGAACACCAGUGGCGAAGGCGGCUUACUAGUCCGGUUCUGACGCUGAGGCGCGAAAGCGUGGGGAGCAAACAGG